rnacentral:rRNA from 1 species
UACGUAGGGUGCAAGCGUUGUCCGGAAUUAUUGGGCGUAAAGAGCUCGUAGGCGGUUUGUCGCGUCGGAUGUGAAAACUCGGGGCUCAACCCCGAGCCUGCAGUCGAUACGGGCAAACUAGAGUGUGGUAGGGGAGACUGGAAUUCCUGGUGUAGCGGUGAAAUGCGCAGAUAUCAGGAGGAACACCGGCGGCGAAGGCGGGUCUCUGGGCCAUAACUGACGCUGAGGAGCGAAAGCGUGGGGAGCGAACAGG